UAAAAGUCUGUGCUGACCAACUAGCCUCCAUCUUUACACAGAUCUUCAACAGAUCAUUGGAGCUGUGUGAAGUUCCCUGCUGCUUCAAAUGCUUCACCAUCAUUCCGGUCCCCAAAAAGCCCAAAAUCACUGGACUUAACGACUACAGACCUGUCGCUCUCACAUCUGUGGUCAUGAAGUCACUUGAGAGACUGGUCCUGGCCUACCUGAAGGACAUCACUGGACCUUUGCUGGAUCCUCUUCAAUUUGCCUACAGAGCAAACAGGUCUGUGGAUGAUGCAGUCAACAUGGGACUUCAUAACAUCCUGCAACACCUUGACAGACCUGGGAAUUACGCAAGGAUCCUAUUUGUGGACUUAAGUACAGCCUUUAAUACCAUCAUGCCUGACCUUCUCUCAGACAAACUCACACAGCUCUCUGUGCCCACCUCCAUCUGUCAGUGGAUCACCAGCUUCCUGACAGACAGGCAGCAGUUUAUGAGGCUGGGCAAACUCACAUCCAGGACUAUCACCAUCAGCACUGGCGCCCCCCAGGGAUGUGUGGUUUCCCCCCUGCUCUUCUCUCUCUACACGAAUGACUGCACUUCAAAGGACCCCUCUGUCAAGCUCCUGAAGUUUGCUGAUGACACUACAGUCAUCGGCCUCAUCAAGGAUGGAGAUGAGUCUGCUUACAGACAGGAGGUUAAAGAGCUGGCUGUCUGGUGCAGUCUUAACAACCUGGGGCUUAACACGCUCAAAACUGUGGAGAUGACAAUGGACUUCAGGAGGAACCCCCCUGCAGUCCCCCGACUCACUAUCAUGAACAGCACUGUGGCUGCAGUGGAGUCAUUCAGAUUCCUGGCAACCACCAUCUCUCAGGACCUGAAGUGGGACACUGACAUAGACUCUAUUGCAAAAAAGGCCCAACAGAGGUUGUACUUCCUUCACCAGCUGAGGAAAUUCAACCUGCCACAGGAGCUGCUGAAACAGUUCUACUCAGCCGUCAUUGAGUCUGUCUGUGUUCAUCCACAACUGUCUGGUUUGGUUCAGCUACCAAAUCAGACAUCAAGAGACUACAACGGACAGUCAGGACUGCUGAGAGGAUUAUUGGUGCCCCUCUGCCCAGCCUCCAAGACCUUUACAUCUCCGGAGUGAGGAAAAGGGCACUACAGAGUAUUGAGCACCAGAACAG
ensembl:lncRNA